CCACGCCCACUUUCUCAAAAAAAAUACAUCCAAAUAUGCCCCUUCCUAGAACAAUCGUUUAUACCAAAUUUUGCUUUCAUAGCUUAAUUUAUGGCUUAGUUAUAGCUCUUUAUGUGUUUUCGGUUAUCGUCAUUUUGUGGGCGUGACAGUGUUCCGAUUCCGCCCAUUUUCGAACUUAACCUUCUUAUGGUGCCAAGGAAUACGUGUUCCAAGUUUCAUUAAGAUACCUCAAUUUUUACUCAAGUUACAGCUUGCACGGACGGACAGACGGACGGACAGACAGACAUCCGGAUUUGAACGACUCGUCACCCUGAUCACUUUGGUAUAUAUAACCCUAUAUCUAACUCGUUUAGUUUUAGGACUUACAAACAACCGUUAUGUGGACAAAACUAUAAUACUCUCUUUAGCAACUUUUGUUGCGAGAGUAUAAAAAGUUGUGUCCUUUUAAACUUAAAGAUUAUUUCUACGAAUUUUUAGAGUGUAAAUUUAAUAAUAAGUUUGAUGGCUUCAUAGGAAAUAAUAUAUUAAGGGAAUUAACUGCAUUAUUGACUUUACUAACAGACAGUUCAUAACAAAAAACGCUGUUAUAACUCUCUUUCUCACUGAAGAAGAAGAAGUUUAUAACAAAAAAGCAUAUAAAGAAAACUUUGUUAAAAUAUUUAGUUGUGAAGUCGACACUCGUAAUAUCGCAGCAAUGAUUCGUACUGAUUAUUUGCAAACGUUCAAAAAGGAAAAAUUAUUUCGAAUUGUCAAUAUAUAUAAAAACGUUUCUUAUAAAAAAGAUAUCCAGAGGUUCAUAAGGCUGAAGUUGAUAAGCAAAUUGAAAGCAUGUUAAAACAAAGGAUCAUUCGGCAUUCAAACAGUCCAUACAAUAAAUAAAUAGCCUUAUUUGGGUCGUCCCGAAAAAACUAGAUGCGUCUAAGCAACAAAAUUGGCGAAUAGUCAUCGACUAUCGUAAACUCAAUGAUGUUACUAUUGAAGAUCGUUUUCCAAUACCAAAUAUAGAUGACAUUUUUGACAAACUAGAUUUCACAAAAACUUUUACUCUUGUGACAAAUGCGAGUAAUUUUGCCCUAGGAGCAGCUCUUAUGCAGAAUAACAAUUUCAUUUGCCAGUCGAACUUUGAAUAAAGCAUUAUAGCACUAUAGAAAAAGAGUUGUUGGCCAUAGUGUGGGCCACUAAAUAUUUUCGACCACAGAUUCAGAUCGCAGAUUCACCAUUAAAACAGAUCAUCGUCCAUUGGUUUGGUGGAAUAAUAUAAAGAAACCUAUUUCAAAGUUACAAGGGUGGAAAAUGUAAU